rnacentral:lncRNA from 1 species
GAUAUGAUUUUAAAUUGGGUAAUCAAGGGAAAAAAUCAUUGAAUAUGACACUUAACAAAGAUCUGAAGGUGUGAGAGGGUUAGCAAUGCACAUAUUUUGAGGACAAGUAUAUCAGAGGCCAGCAGGGAGGUGGGCCAUAGUAAGAACUUUAGCUUUUACUCUGAGUGACAUGGAGAGCUACUUAAGGAUUUAAAGCAGACCCUGAUCCAUUCUGACUUAUCUUGUAUGUAGAUCAUUCUCGCUGGUGUGCUGAAAAUAGACUGUAGGGGACAAGGGUGGAAGCAGGGAAACCAUUUAGGAGAUAGGAAUAUAGGUGAAAGAUUACAGUAGACAGACCAAAUGGUCAGAGCACGUUUUAGAGAAAAUAUCAGACAUUUGGUGUUGAAUAUUUUCCAUUUGACUUGUUUAUUAGAUAGAUCCAAGCAGAGAAAGCAAGUAGAUUGUUAAGAGUUCUCCAGAUCAAUUUGUCUCUGCCCUAGUGGAGCUUACACUCCACCAGAAUGUGGGUAGUAAAUACAAUGAAUAAAACAAAUGGGUAAGACAUAUACUAUGUUAGAAGAUGAGUCUUAUGGAGAAAAUUCAAGUAAGGAAAGAGGAAUGAGUGAUGUUGGGUGACUGACUUCCUGAGAAGAUAACAGUUGGGUUAUGAUAGGAAGGUAGUGAAGAAAUAAAUCAUAGAUACCUGGGAGAACAAUAGUUUAGGUGGAAGGGACCAAAUGUAAAGAUUUCAAGAUGGGAGCAUGGCUGGUAUGAGAAGAACAAGGAGGUGAAAUAUGGCUGGAGUGACAUGAGUGAGGGAAAGGGGAUUAGCGAUGACAGCGCCAAAGUGACAACUGUCUGGGUUAUAGGCCUUUUUAAGGGCUCUGGCUUUUACCUUGUGUGAGAGGGGAAACUAGUGGAUAGUUUAGCAGGAGAGAGGCAUGGUCUGACCUGUGGUUUAACCAAGUCACUCUAGUUGUUGUGCUAAAUAGACUGAGGGGCAAAGGUGAAAGCAGGGAGGUUGGUUACACUAAUCCAGGUAGCAGUGGAGAGAGUGAGGAAUGAUCACAUCCUGGAUUAUUUGAGGGUUAAGUUGACAAAUUGGCCUAGCGAUUGCAAGUGGGAUGAGAAAUGAGUAGCGUCAAGAAUGAUUCCAAGGUUUUUGACCUGAACAAUUGGAAGGAUAGAGUUGCAGGGGUUAAGAUGGGAAAGACUACAAAGAACAGGUGUGCUAGAGGCGAUCAGGAGCUCAGUUUUGGACAUGUUAACUUUAUGAUGCCUUUUGGACAUCCAGAUAGGUGUUCAGUAGGCCUUUUUGUUAUGAAUACUGUUUUUUUUUCAAGUGAUUUAAUUGUAUUAAAGCAGUGUGCUCACUGUUCUGAAAAUAUAUUACAUUCGUUAAUAUCUUUAACAUGUUCAAUCCUGGCAAAACUUGAAUAUUUUGGAGAGAGAAAUUGUUUGACUGCUUUUUGGCUUUGUCCUAUUACUGCUGGAUUGUGCAAGAUAUUUAACACUCUUUUCUUUGAGGUAUGACUUAAAUAUCAAACAUCUUAAAUAAGAAAAGGGAAACAUUUUAGUUGUGGAAGUCAGAAUGCCAAGGAGAAGGAAAAAUCUUGGGGGAAAUCCUUUUCGGAAGACUGCAAACUCUAAGGAAGUUGUAUCCAGUGUUGCUAGUCAUGAGGAGCCAACCACUACUCUUCCUUCCAUGUAUGAGACAAAAGUUGAUCAGGAAGAACUCUUCACCAGUAUCUCAGAGAUGUUUUCUGAUCUGGAUCCUGAUGUAGUGUAUUUGAUGCUUUCUGAAUGUGAUUUCAAAGGUGAGAAAAAGUUUAGUUUGAACCCUUUACAUCUUAUAAGGAGAUUUCAAGUACUAUGCCGUGACCAGUAGUAAUAUAGAAUAUACCUUAUUUCUAUUUUAUUCAUCAUUUUUUGAGUAUCUGCUAUGGGCAAAGUACUAAGUUUGGUAUUAUGAGGGAUAUGAAGAAGAAUAAAGCAUAGUUUCUGCUUUUAAGAAAUGUACAGUUCUAGAUGUAAGAUAUAUGAAGAUAUCAUAUUCUUUGUUUUAUUUCUUUUUAUCUUCCCUCUAGAACAGGUUGGCACUAUUGACGUUUUGACCGGAUAAUUCUGUUGUGAGUAGCUUUCCUGUGCAUUGUAGGAUGUUCAACAACGUCUCUGGCGUGUACCCACUAAAUGCCAGUAGCAUAUUCCUCCCCCUCAUCCCAGUGUGACAGUUAAAAAUGCCUCUGUAUAUCUUGUGUCCCCUGGGGGGCAAAAUCAUUCUCAGUUGAGAACACUUGACCUAGAAAUAUAAGCUCCAUAAUGACAGGGAUUUAAAAAACUGUUUGGUUUUACUGCUGCAUCUCUAGCCACCUACCCUCUCAAAUAGCAAAUGAUCAUCAUAGGAUCUCAGUAAAUAUUUGACUGAAAAGGUAAUUGUAACUGUGAAAAUGAGAGCCAAUUAAGAGUAGAGUGGUUUCGAGUUGCUGUGGCUGUAGUGCAGGCCAGCAGCUGUAGCUCCGAUUCAACCCCUAGCCUGGGAACGUCCAUAUACUGCAGGCGCGGCCCUAAAACAAC